AAUGAACGCUGGCGGCGCGCCUAAUACAUGCAAGUCGAGCGAGAAGACGUAGCAAUACGUUUGUAAAGCGGCGAACGGGUGAGGAAUACAUGGGUAACCUACCCUCGAGUGGGGAAUAACUAGCCGAAAGGUUAGCUAAUACCGCGUACGCUCCUUGGACUUCGGUUCAGGGAGGAAAGCGAUACCGUGGGUAUCGCGCUCUUGGUUGGGCUCAUGUCCUAUCAGCUUGUUGGUGAGGAACGGCUCACCAAGGCUUCGACGGGUAGCUGGUCUGAGAGGACGAUCAGCCACACUGGCACUGCGACACGGGCCAGACUCCUACGGGAGGCAGCAGUGGGGAAUAUUGGACAAUGGGCGCAAGCCUGAUCCAGCGAUGCCGCGUGUGUGAAGAAGGCCUGCGGGUUGUAAAGCACUUUCAGUAGGGAAGAAAGACCGAGUGCUAAUAUCACUCGGUCUUG
rnacentral:rRNA from 1 species